UACCAUCACUCCACCAAAUCACACACACACUAGACAAAAGAGAUUUACGUGGUUCGGGCAACAUCCUACAUCCAACGGGAUGAACAAAAUUUCCUAUAACAGAAUGAAUUACAUGAGUUACAAUAGGGAGGAGCUCAUCUCCCUCACCCUCAGCACUCUCUCAUCUCUCACCAUCUCACUGCUCUCUCUCUCAAGAUCUCACAGCUACCAUUCUAGGCCCACUCUCUGCCAGAUCUCUCUGUGAUCUCAGGUGCUCUCACUAGCACACUAGAACUCCCCCCAAACCCAACUCCUCUCUCAGCCCCUCUCUGCACACACAACAAGCUGUGUGCUCCGUAACCUCCAUUAUUACUCUUGCCUCUCCACUCUAUGCUCUCCCAAAUGGAGCCUUUAAAGAGGGGAUUGGAGCCUCCAUUGUUGACAAUCACCACCCAUCCUUCUCUCUCUGCCUUCCUUUUCCGUCCUCAAGCCUCUAAUUAAGACUCUCUGUCUCUGACCAACUUACCAAAUGGAGGAAUGAGGACUCUCUAAAGAAAGACUUGGCAAUUGGAAGGCUUGGAGUUGGUGGCUUGGGCUAUUCACAUUGGGCCUCAUAUGGGCUGACUCCACAAUCUCCCCCUCCAGCCAUUGGAGGGUACCUGUCAUUCGUCAAGUUAUCCAUCCCGACAACUUCUGAUCUCACUCCCCCGUAAGAUCUCAAGACGUAUCCGAGAUAUGUUACCCCCUUCAAUCGGGCACUCCACUUCUACUGAAAUGAAUGCACUUCCAAACGCUGAAGUGGCCUGCACCUUCUCACCUAGGUGCUCUGCUCCCCCACCGGGGUGCGCUGCAAGUACGUCGCUUUGCACGUCGUCUGACUCCAUCGCUCUCCUUUGUGUGCACAACUAGAGAAUGGACCGCCACUGGGGGAGGAGGAGUGGAGCAGGCGGGAACGGGUAAGGUUAGUAGGGGGGGAGGAGGAGUGUAAAUGGGAGGAACGGGAGAGAGAAAGGCGAGAAAUAGGCGUACCACGAGAAGAGUAUAGGGAAGACGAGGGAAUAAGUACGGCGGAAGACCUGAGACGAGAGGUACGGGUGCAGCACAGAAGUAAAGGACGCGUAGAUCUCUAGCGAAAGAGAUUCGUCCGCGACGUCACGCCCCCCCCCUGUCUCUUACAUCUACUCUGUCUCUCUCCUCUGAGCUUCUCAAUGGACAUCCUGCACUGGUGCACCUUCUCGUGUCUGGCCAACUUCCGCACGUAUCCCAAAGCAUUCUCCUUUCGCUCCUGUUCCACUGUGGAUUCUUCAAGUACAUCCAUCAGGUAUCUUCCUGCGCUUGCUUUGCGUUCCUCUGUGCAACGGUUGCUUCUUUCUAUCCAUCCAUCUUGCUAAUACCACUGGACCUUUUCGGACGCAGCUCUCCGUCUGGACAUUCUCCCGCAUUGGGUUAGCCAUCAGUCUUCCUUCUCUUGCAGCAUUUCUGUUUCCUUGGAAACCUCUGAUUGUUCCUCCACUAGCUUCAAAGCUCAUCGCUUCGACUCCUGCAUCUCAAUGAAUCAUGCCUUCCCUGUCCUCUUCCAUGAUCUCCGUCGGCGGAACGGACUGUCCUUUGCCAACAUCGGUCGUUAGCCAUCCGAACAAGUCCCUCGCAUGCUACAUGUGUAAAGCACCCUUCUUCUCUGCACAAGUUUAAGCAUCCUGAUCAGAAUCCAAUUCUACUCUUUUCAUCGGCCGAUGCCUCGAGGAGAACAUCACUCUCAUCCCAGCCAUCAUUGCUGUUGUUUUGUUGCCUCUGAAGACUAUCUGGUGCUUUGUUCCUUGACAUCUUCUGUCCCUCCUGGUCCGGCAAUAAAAGCACUUAAAGUGCUACCUCUGGAUUUUUGCCUCUGUCGUCUUCAUCUGCCGAUAUCUCUUCCUUGACCCUCUUCUCUAGCGCUCUUCUCUUGACCUCUGUGACCGUCUCCUGAACUCUUCUCUGGAACUCGCUCAUUUGUUCCUUGCCACCAUAGUCCCUCUCCGAAGCUUCUACCCAAAGCCUCCUCAAUAAGACUUGUACUGGAUUUAUUCCUCCCGGUGAACAAUCUUCCAACUUACAAACUCUGGUCCACAACCCAUGGAGCCAUCGUCUCAUCGUGCACAUGUUGGAACCCCUGUGUUCAAUGCAUUGUCAGAUCUGCAACACUCGUCUCAUCGUGCACAUGAUAGAACACCGUGUCCAAUGCAUUGUCUGAUAUGCCCAAUCAUCUUCCUGUUCAUCUCAUUCCUCAUCCUUGGUUUGCUUGGGGCCGUAAAUCCGCAUCUUGAAAGCUUAUCAGGCUCUCAAAUUACUUCGCCUUCUUACUUCUCGCAAAUGAGAAGCAAAAUCUCUGAAAACCGACCUCGCGGAUUAAUCGCGGAAUCCGAGAAAACGCAGAUAGGCUUUUAAUGCAAAAAAUCAGACACUUUGCUGGGACCCAAAUUGAUCAAAGCAAAACUUCAAGGGACUAAAUUGAAAUUUUUCACUUUUUCCAGGGACCUAUUGC
rnacentral:lncRNA from 1 species